AGAGAGAGAGAGAGACAGUUUAGAAAGAAAGAAAGAAAGAAAGAAAGAAAGAAAGAAAGAAAGAAAGAAAGAAAGAAAGAAAGAAAGAAAGAAAGAAAGAAAGAAAGAAAGAAAGAAAGAAAGAAAGAAAGAAAGAAAGAAAGAAAGAAAGAAAGAAAGAAAGAAAGAAAGAAAGAAAGAAAGAAAGAAAGAAAGAAAGAAAGGAAGGAAGGAAGGAAGGAAGGAAGGAAGGAAGGAAAAAAGAAAGAAAAGAAAGAAAGAAGGAAGGAAGGAAGGAAGGAAGGAAGGAAGGAAGGAAGGAAGGAAGGAAGGAAGGAAGGAAGGAAGGAAGGAAGGAAGGAAGGAAGGAAGGAAGGAAGGAAGGAAGGAAGGAAGGAAGGAAGGAAGGAAGGAAGGAAGGAAGGAAGGAAGGAAGGAAGGAAAAGAAAAGUGAAGUGAUAU
rnacentral:lncRNA from 1 species